GGGGCCGUGGUCUAGCGGCUAUGACGCCGCCCUUACACGGCGGAGGUCGCCGGUUCGAAUCCGGCCGGCCCCA
rnacentral:tRNA from 1 species